CUACAGUGUGGAACAUGGUGGAGAGAACAGAAUGAAACCUGGGCUUAGAAAAUAUGUCUGUGAUCACACUGGACCUAAACACAGUAAACAGACUCCUCUCUCUGUCUGAGGAGAACAGAAAGGUGACAUGGAGGAGAGAGAAGCAGCAGUAUCCUGAUCACCCAGAGAGAUUUGAGGACUGUGGACAGGUGCUGUGUAGAGAGGGUCUGACUGGGCGCUGUUACUGGGAGGUAGAGUGGAGUGGGAGGGGGGCUGUUAUAGGAGUGACAUAUAAAGGAAUCAACAGGAGAGGAGGGGAUAAGGACUGUUGUCUUGGAUACAAUGACAAGUCCUGGAGUCUGUUCUGCUCUGACAACAGUUACACUGCCUGGCACAAUAAUAAUCCCACUACCAUAGACGUCCCCUCCUCCAGCUCCCACAGAGUAGGAGUGUAUCUGGACUGGCCAGCCGGCACUCUGUCCUUCUAUAGAGCCUCCUCUGACACACUGACCCACCUGAUCACAUUCACCUCCACAUUCACUGAGCCCCUCUAUCCAGGGUUUUGGGUUUAUUUUGAAGGCUCCUCAGUGUCCCUGAAAUAACAACCAGUAAUGUAUGUCACUUUUUAUUGACUCCCUGUUUGGAAACAAACUGACAACUGACUGGUUUACUGACAAACACACACUGGGCAGAGACACACACACACACACACACACUGGGCAGACACACACA